CUUCACCGGCCACCCAAUGCACCUUUGACAUAGCCAAGAAUGGAAGAGAGGAAGAGGCAGCAGAGAUUUGGGAUUUUCUUGAAAGGGUGGUUGACACCUCUGUUUGCCAAUGAUUUUUCCAUUUUCAACAGCCCUUUCAUUCUUUUUGCCCAAAAAAGAAAGGGAAAGCAUACAAAUUAUGUGAUUAUUUUCUUUUGAAGCUGUUCAUCUCAAUCUGCUCGUGGAAAUCUGUUUUCUGAUACAUCCUUUGGUUACCUGUAAUCUUACUAGGGAAAAAUGCUAUUGACGCAGAUUAUUUCCACCAUAUGAGGCUAUGAUGAUGUUUCCCUGUUUCUGUUUCUGCUUCUUUCUAGACCACUAAUUUUGGGGCACUUGAGAUGAUCCAAUCUGUAUCUUGGCGGGGUGGUCCGGAAUAUGCCCGGUUCUUUGCAGCCAUGGCGAUGUUGGCUUCUCUCUUGCCCCCAUUAGUAAACAAAUCUGAGCCUCAAGCUAUAGGACAUCUGUUCAUUGACGGCCCCUAUUACAUUCCUACUUAAAGAAUGAGGCUUUACCGAGAAAUGAAGUUUUUUUUGGGUGGUUGCACUUCUCUGGUUAGCCUAUGAUUUGCUUUUGUUUCUUCCAUGCAACAGCCCUUCCACACACACAAUAUGUGUGUGUAUGUAUCUGUGGAUCUGUGGGUAUAUAUAUAUCAGCUAGGUUUGCCGUACGAUACUCUCAGGUUAGUAAACAGACCCUUAAGUGUCAGCUCAAAGAUUGAGGGUUUACAGAGAAAUGGAGAAUUUCCAUGGAAGGGAAAAACAAAGUUGAUUAUGGGGCAAUGAUGAUAUACUUUUAAGCAAAGUAAGUGUAUUUUGAUUAUAUGACCCAUGUUUUGGCAUGGCAACCUGGAUUUUCUCAUUGACUAGCUGGGAUUUGCAGCCAAGGUGGUGUCAAGUGUUUAAAUAUCAGAAUUAUGAAAAUCUGAGCCUCAUUCUCUAUAUACAUUUUAAAGAUGGAAUAGGUUUCACUUAGAAAGACGGCAAAAAUGAAGCAAACCAAGAGCUGGGACUUCUUCUAAGGGUGGUUGCCCCUCUUGGUUUCAGCUUAUGAUUUCUCUGUUUUCAUUUACAUAAAAUAAGAAACCAACAGCCCUUCAUUUUUUCAAGAAAACUACAUUCAUUUAUAAUCAUCUCAUGCCUGACAUUCUUCCAUGGAACAGUGUGUGAGUUUCCUCACAUGCAAGCCAGACUGAAGAGGGAAAGGCUUUUGACCAGAUAAAUAGGCGAUGCAGCCCAGAAAGGAAGAGGGAAUGAGGCAGCAGAGUUGGGGAUUUUGUUGAAAGGGUGGUUGAACCCCUCUGUUUUUCUGCCUGUGAUUUCUCCAUUUUCAACAGCCCUUUUGUUUUACUCAGAAAUGGGAAUGAUGCAGAUAGAAUGCCAUUACAGCAAUAUAUUUAGGUCCUGUUCAAGUAAGGUAAAAAUUUCUCCUAUUCUCAUGGUGGUGUGCUUGUGUAAGUCAUCUUAUGCUGAUGUUGUAUCUCCAUUAGUUUCUACUCAUAUAUGCUAAUGCUACUAGUACUUCUAUUCAACAGCGAGGUAGCUCAGAAAUGGAGAGUAAAAGAGGCAACAGAGAGUCUGGUUUUUGUUGAAAGGGUGGUUGACCUUCUCUGUUCUUGCCAAUGAUUUCUCCAUAUUUCAACAGCCCUUUCGAUCUUCUGGAAAUGGAAUAUACAGAUACAGAGAGAUGAUAUAUAGUACAUUCUACCCGGUUUUAAUUACUACUUUUUUCCCAAUCCUUUUCAUUCAUUCCAUGGAAACUCUAUUUUUGGUCGUCUGUAAACUGUUGCUGCUAGCUUAAUCUGUCGGAUCACUAGAUGCCUUGAAACUUGAAAGUGAGGCGAUGAUGAUAUUUCUCGGUUUCUGUUUUUCUGAGCUACUCAUCUUGGCAAUUGAGAUUAACUGACCUGUAUCUUGGCGGGGCAACCAGGAUUAAUACCGGUUUUGCAGCCAUGGCGGCGAUGGCAUCUCUUUUACCCCUAUCAGGAACACCGAGCUGAGCCUCAAAUGUGUUAGUUUCCUCACAUGCAAGCCGGACUGAAGAGGGAAAGGCUUUUGACCCGAGAAAUAGGCGAUGCAGCCCAGAAAGGAAGAGGGAAUGAGGCAGCAGAGUUGGGGAUUUUGUUGAAAGGGUGAUUGAACCCCUCUGUGUUUUUCUGCCUGUGAUUUCUCCAUUUUCAACAGCCCUUUUGUUUUACUCAGAAAUGGAAUGAUGCAGAUAGAAGCCAUUACAGAUUUACAGUAACUUAUUUAGGUCCUGUUCAAGUAAGGUAAAAAUUUCUCCUAUUUUCAUGGUGCUGUGCUUGUGUAAGUCAUCUUAUGCUGAUGUUGUAUCUCCAUUAGUUUCUACUCAAUAUAUGCUGAUGCUACUAGUACUCCUAUUCAA